rnacentral:rRNA from 1 species
GAUGAACGCUAGCGGCAGGCCUAACACAUGCAAGUCGAGGGAGAAGCCCUCGGGCUGAAACCGGCGCACGGGUGCGUAACGCGUAUACAAUCUGCCUUUCACAUAGGGAUAGCCCGAAGAAAUUUGGAUUAAUACCUAAUGGCAUAUAAGAGCGGCAUCGUUUUUAUAUUAAAGCUACGGUGGUGAAAGAUGAGUAUGCGUUCUAUUAGCUAGUUGGAGAGGUAACGGCUCCCCAAGGCGACGAUAGAUAGGGGUUCUGAGAGGGAUGUCCCCCACACUGGUACUGAGAUACGGACCAGACUCCUACGGGAGGCAGCAGUGAGGAAUAUUGGACAAUGGUCGGAAGACUGAUCCAGCCAUGCCGCGUGCAGGAUGAAGGUCCUAUGGAUUGUAAACUGCUUUUGUAAGGGAAGAAUAAGGAGUACGUGUACUUUGAUGACGGUACCUUACGAAUAAGCAUCGGCUAACUCCGUGCCAGCAGCCGCGGUAAUACGGAGGAUGCGAGCGUUAUCCGGAAUCAUUGGGUUUAAAGGGUCCGUAGGCGGGCUGAUAAGUCAGAGGUGAAAGCGCUUAGCUCAACUAAGCAACUGCCUUUGAAACUGUCAGUCUUGAAUGAUUGUGAAGUAGUUGGAAUGUGUAGUGUAGCGGUGAAAUGCUUAGAUAUUACACAGAACACCGAUAGCGAAGGCAUAUUACUAACAAUUUAUUGACGCUGAUGGACGAAAGCGUGGGGAGCGAACAGG